rnacentral:rRNA from 1 species
GACGAACGCUGGCGGCGUGCUUAACACAUGCAAGUCGAACGGUAAGGCCCUUCGGGGUACACGAGUGGCGAACGGGUGAGUAACACGUGGGUGAUCUGCCCUGCACUUCGGGAUAAGCCUGGGAAACUGGGUCUAAUACCGGAUAGGACUCCGGACUGCAUGGUCUGGGGUGGAAAGCUUUUGCGGUGUGGGAUGGGUCCGCGGCCUAUCAGCUUGUUGGUGGGGUGAUGGCCUACCAAGGCGACGACGGGUAGCCGGCCUGAGAGGGUGACCGGCCACACUGGGACUGAGAUACGGCCCAGACUCCUACGGGAGGCAGCAGUGGGGAAUAUUGCACAAUGGGCGCAAGCCUGAUGCAGCGACGCCGCGUGAGGGAUGACGGCCUUCGGGUCGUAAACCUCUUUCAGCACAGACGAAGCGCAAGUGACGGUAUGUGCAGAAGAAGGACCGGCCGACUACGUGCCAGCAGCCGCGGUAA